AUUGGAUCCUAAGUCCAAUGCAUAACUCUGCCAAGGCAACAGACAUAUUAUGCUUAAUCACAUCAAAUAGAAAUUAUUCCAGCUACCUAAUCCUUUCGUACUAAGAUACCUUUUAUAAAAUUAAGAGAUAGAAACCGACCUGGCUCACGCCGGUCUGAACUCAAAUCAUGUAAGGAUUUAAAGGUCGAACAGACCUUCCUUUAUAACUGCUGCAUCAUAAGGAUACCUUAAUUCAACAUCGAGGUCGCAAACCUUCUUGUCGAUAGGGACUCUCAAAGAAGAUUACGCUGUUAUCCCUAAAGUAACUUAAUCUUUUAAUCGCUAAUAGAGGAUCACACUAAUUUUCAAUUAUAUUUGUUAUUAAAUAUUUAAGAACAGUUACCUAUUAUAUUCUCGUCGCCCCAACGCAACAAAUCUUAAUUAAAACCAAGUUAUACUAACAAUUGAUAGUAUAAUUAAAUUAUUGUCAAGCUUUAUAGGGUCUUAUCGUCCCCUUAAUUUAUUUAAGCCUUUUCACUUAAAAGUUAAGUUCAAUCAUUAUAAUUGAGACAGCUUACUUUUUGUCCAACCAUUCAUACAAGCCUUCAAUUAAAAGACUAAUGAUUAUGCUACCUUCGCACGGUCAAUAUACCGCGGCCCUUUAAACUAAAUCAGUGGGCAGGCUAGACUUUAUAUAACAAUCAUAUAGACAUGUUUUUGAUAAACAGGCAAAAGUAAUAUUUGCCGAGUUCCUUAAUUAUAUCUCAAAUAACUAAAAAUUUUACUUUUAUUUUACUUUAUUUUAUCACAUAUUAUUUCUACUAAUAAAAUCAUUAUUACUUAUGAUAUUUUAUUUAUCACGACAAUUGGCUACUCAAAUCAGAUUUAUUAUCAAAAUAUUAAUAACUUUCAAUAUUGCAUUAACUAGAACGUUUUAUUAAUAUAGCUGUUUUUAAGCCUAACUCAACAAUAUUUUCUUUUCUUUUGAUCAUGAUCCACCUAUUUUAGAAUAAGAAGCUUUUCCCUCCUACUCUUUACUACCUUGUAGCUUUAUUGUGCCACAAGAUAAUUAAAUUUAAUUUAAUUCACCUAUAACCAGAUAUGAAAAAUCGAUUAGCAUUUCACUACUAACACAAACUUUAUAAUUUCAUUAAAACGAAAACUACAUAUUUAUGUUAGCUCUUUUUCUUUCGGGAAUCCUUUUUUAUUAAGCUUAUUUUGAUUUUCCCUAAUACACAAGGUACAAGUUUUUAACUUUACUUUAUAUAAAUUCAAUUUUCAAUAUAUUUCAUCUUUCCUUUACAGUACUUUACUCUAUAACUCUUAUAUAUUUUUUUCGAUUCACUCUACUAAAAUAAUGAAAUUUUAAAAUAAUUUUAUUACUACCAGUAACAACGACAUUAUUAAUUCAGCUAAUAAGAUUUA
rnacentral:rRNA from 1 species